rnacentral:rRNA from 1 species
CCUACGGGAGGCUGCAGUGAGGAAUAUUGGUCAAUGGACGAGAGUCUGAACCAGCCAAGUAGCGUGAAGGAUGACUGCCCUAUGGGUUUUAAACUUCUUUUAUAUGGGAAUAAAAUGUUCCACGUGUGGGAUUUUGUAUGUACCAUAUGAAUAAGGAUCGGCUACCUCCGUGCCAGCAGCCGCGGUAAUACGGAGGAUCCGAGCGUUAUCCGGAUUUAUUGGGUUUAAAGGGAGCGUAGGUGGAUUGUUAAGUCAGUUGUGAAAGUUUGCGGCUCAACCGUAAAAUUGCAGUUGAAACUGGGAGUCUUGAGUACAGUAGAGGUGGGCGGAAUGCGUGGUGUAGCGGUGAAAUGCUUAGAUAUCACGAAGAACUCCGAUUGCGAAGGCAGCUCACUGGACUGCAACUGACACUGAGGCUCGAAAGUGUGGGUAUCAAACAGGAUUAGAUACCCGAGUAGUC